UACAAAAGGAACACUUAUUCCUUGCUCCCUUGUUUAGCUGCUGAGCACUGAUGCAGGAGGCAGGCGCCGCCUGGGGCUGCACACACCUGACGGUGUGCUCCUGGUCAGCUCUGCCUGAGCCUGCAAGGACUCGUCCAGCUGGUGUCAGUGUCAGUGCCGGGGAUUAGCGUGCCCUCCUGGGAGAGUCCAGCUGACCGCAGCGCUGGAAGAAUCGGAAUCUCCAGACUGUCCUUGUUAGUUUCUUCUAAUGGUUCAGCAGAAGUUUGAUAUGAAUCCAGCAGAGAACUUAUCUGAGCAAUCUUGGAGGAAGGUACUAGCAUUACUUGCACUCUUCAGAUGGGAACACUGAUACAGAGAGGUUCUAAGUCUUCAACAUGGCGGACAAAAUGAGCUUCCUCCUCUGCUCCUAGCCCUGUCGGUACUGCUGCCCGCCUGAGGCAAGUUCCUUCUCAUUUCUGGACCACACAGCUGCUUCCUUGGAUGGAAUCACAGACUUCUCCCUUCCCCAGGUCUACUGUACUUGAGGUCUCUCAGGUUGGGCAUGAGAACAGCUCCUUACUAUUCCUUUGCUGAGUGAAGUGAUGCAUGAACCAAGGCCCCCGAGAGACCCCAAGCCAGGAUCUCCAGCAACAAACAAGCCACUUCCCCAGGAUGGGUGGUGAGUGCUUGUUAUCAACACGGCAAGCCACUCGGCCUGGCUCCCGGAGGGCUGUUGAAUGAGGCAAGAGCCGAUCUCUCUCCACCUCCUUGCAAAGCUUUGCUCCUUGAUCUCCUCUACCUCCUGGUCCCAACCAGCCCUUAGGAAGUCACUGCUGGUCACAUCUCACAGAAUCACAGGCUCACAGAAGUACAGAACUCAAUUGAAGAAGCAUUAGGUGUGUAUGAUACGCCAGGCCCUGUGGUAGGGCAGGGGAUACAGUGUAAACAAAAUAACAAAAAACCCACAUUCGCAUGGAAUUUACAUUCCUUUGGACAAAAUCACCAUAAAUCAGUAUGAUCUAGUCUCCUCUGCUGGAAGAAAAAAGAAAAGCGAUUGAGGUCCAACUGUGGGUUUAAUGCUGUGCUAGGAGCUUUAUAUUUCUCAUUUAAUUUUUUCCCCCAACCACCUGGAAAGAUGAGAUUAUGACUCCCAUUCUACAGGAGAAGAAAUGGAGGCCCAGAUAAGCUUAGUAAGAUGCCCAAGGUCACAGAGCUAGUAGGUGAGAAAUCCUGAUCUGUCUUCACAGCAGGUGAAGUGCAUCUAUCAGGAAGCCUCCCCCCUUCUCUAGCUCAUAUAAUCAGUCUCCCUUCAUUUGUAACUGCGAUGUUUAAUAACUUUGUGAACCUGAGCGAGGGAUGCAGUUUUCUCAUCUGUAAACUGGGGUUGACAGCACCUAUCUCCCCAGAUUGUUGGGAAGAUUAGAGGUGACCAGGCCUAUAGACCCUUUGUCCAGAGGGUGAUACUGAUAAGUACUCAAUACAUGUGAGCCAUCCUGAGUAGUAGUGGUGGUAUUUUAAUAUUUGAUUUGAUAUGAACAAUCACACAUAAGGAGAAAAUGAAAAAUUAUAGGUGGCAAAUAACCUUAAUAAAAGAAUAAAAGUAUACUAAGUCAGAGAGACUUACUAUGAGCACACUAAGUCAGACCUACAGAAGAAAAAAAUGGUUGCUGUAUUAUGAAUAUCGUAGGUGUUCAGCAAGCUACUGCCUUCCGACUCUUCUUAUCAUAACCAUAGGAUAUGGCCAGGAGGAAUUCUGAAUUGUUAGGUGUGCAGCCUGAUCCCUCGUCCUAUGCUGGCCAUGAUGACCUCAGGGAGUACUACCCAGAAUGGCUAUGGGUGACAGUGCCAGGGACGGAUUUCUCAACCUACAGGGCUCGGCUCAGAUACAAUAAGUGCCAUGGGCUCCUUGUUUAAGUACUGGCGAUCUAGAGCCAGUCUUGGUUUAAGCUUAAUACCACAGCCUCUUGUUUUCCUUAUCCAUGCAAAAGGCCGCAGGGUGAUAAGCUAUGCUCCUUUAGUGCCUUUCAAAUACCUUUUCCACCUUUUGUUGUGUAUCAGCUUUUGCUGCCUAACAACCCAUGUUAAAACUGAAGUGUUUUCAAACCUCUAUCAUUUAUUUAGCUCACAAGUCUUGGGCUGGCAGUGCGGGCUGGGCUCAGCCGGGUGGUUCUUUGGCAGGCCUCAUUCUCAGGGCUACUGUCAGCUUCCAGAGAAGCUUGGGCAGGCUGGUCUAUGGGGCCUCAGUGGGCACAGCUCAUCUGGGCUUUAUGUAUCAUCCCACAGGCUAAGCUGGACUUGUUCAUACGAUGGCAAAAGGGAUCCGAGAGUUGCAAACUGUUUAUGCAUCACAUGUGCAAACAUCCUGGCAGUCCAAGCAGCUUGCUCUAAGUCCAGAGUCAGAGCCCGAGGGCAUGGAAAAUUACAUGACAAAAAGGGCUGUGGGCACCAAAGGAAGGCAUCCAACACACCAAGGAGCCUGGUAAAACCCUGCAUUGUUCAGGAUGUAUUUGGAUACAAGUAACAGAACCCUACCCAUGUCAGUUUGACUUAAAAAAAGAAAAAAGGCAAUUUACUGGCUUGGGUAAUGGAAUGAUCCAGGGUUGAACUAGCUUCAGGAAUGGCUGAACGCUGAGGUUGAUAUGAUAUCAGAUCUCUCGCUCUCCCUCUCUUUCUCUCUCUUUUCUAUCUCCUUCCUUCUUUCUCCCCAUUUCUGCUUUCUUGUAUAGGAUAUUCCUUUUCCAGGAAGAUUUCACCCACAUGAUUGCAAAGAUAAACAUCAACAGCUCACAAAUAGCUUCCUUCCAGUUUACCAGUUGAGAAGAAAAGCAUCAUUUCUAAUAGCUUUGGUCAAAGUUCUGAAGAGGACUUUCAUUGGCUGGCCACACAUCUGCGCAUCCCUGAACCAAUAAUUGUGGCCAGAGGUACAGAUAUUUUGAUUGGCCAGACCUGGGCCCUGGGUCCAACCCUAUGAUAGAAUUACAGGGUACAAUCAGCCCUUAAGAUAGGCAGGGAAUACGCAGUAUUAUUACAGAGAAGGUCAGGAAUGACUUCCCUGAGAGGAUUCCAGACAGGUGACUCAGGUGAUUAUGGGAAGAUGCUUAGGAUGACAAGUUUUUUAAAAUGCUCAAAAAAUAAAACAAGAAAAGGUCUCCCAAGAUAAAAGGCAAUAAAGGUAUUCUCCCAAAAGUGGGAGAAGAAUGUGUUAUAUGGUUAUAUGUGUUACAUGUUCUGGAAAGGCAUCUCUGGUAGGCUUUUUACCUCUUGGUCAAAAAUAACCCACUGCGACAGGCUUGACAUGCUAUGUUAUCCAUCUCUGGAAUAUGAAAUCUCUCAGUUUAUUGUUUCCUGGACUUUGCAAAAAGGGCCCUUCCUGCAAAACCUCCUCCAGGACGGUUUGGAAAAUCCCAGAAGCCCUAGGCCUGGCAUCCAAGAUGCUACUGGAGAGGUAUCCAUUUCCUACUUCUCCUAACCUGGGAGGUCAGCAAACUUUUUCUGUUAAAAGCCAAUUGUAAAGUAUUUUAGCCUUUGUAGGCCAAGAGGCCAGCUCACAGCUAUUUUGUAGGUAUUUAUAGAACAAGAGAGAGAACAAAUUUGUACAAGUUCUUUUCAACCGCUUAAAAUAUAUUUAAAAAAUAAAAAAUAUAGUCCAUUUGCAAAGCUGCACAGAAACAGGUGGCAGGAUGGACUUGACCUUAGAGUGCCAGUUGGUCCAUUCCUGCCCUAAGCCAUCUAAAGUGGCAGGAGGGAAGACAGAUACUGUAGGAUCCAAAUCAGAGCCACAGAGAGAAGGAUGGAGGGAGGAAGGAAACCAGUGAUGGUAGGUAGAGUCUGAGAGAGAGACUGAGGAAGUCUAGAGGGAGAAAGAGUACUCUUUUGGGGCAAUGACCACAAUAAAACAGUUACAGAGAGCAACAGAGUGAGGUUACGCAAGAGAGAACAGGAGAAGAUUUGACAAUAUUUGCUGUGCUUUGCAAUGAAAUUCACAAAGGACUCCAGUGAAUACUCAAUUGCUUUUUGGUUACUGUGGUACUGGUACUGGGUUGUCUUCCCCUCCCUUUCUUUAUAUGAUCCACACCUGAGUCUGGGGCCACAGCUUUACGUGGCUUUCUUUGAGCUACUUCCCAAUAUUUUAUCUGGGUUAACACUCCUCUCCAUCCCAGUCAUCCCAAGUAAUCUGGUUCCCUCACUCAUCACAUCCUUCCACCUGGGAUACACUCUCCCCUCCCCAACCACCCUCCACUUGACCAACUCCUGUUUAUCCUUUCUUCAGAGAUCGUUCAUAACUCCUGGAAUCUCACUGCCCUGUAUCCUCACCCUGCAAAAGCCUGAGUGCCUCUUGGGUUCCUCCCUUCAAAAUGGGGCCACUCCUGCCUGUCCCUGUUGAAAGCAAGGCAAGGCAGAAGCACUUUUGCAAACUGUAAAGGGCUAGGCAGGUGGAAGCUGAUAUUUGGCCCAUUUUUGGUCUUCUCUGUGUAAUCCUCUCCAGGUGAUACUUUCAUGGUCCCUUCGAGCCAGAUCUCCGCACGCACAGUGUUACUGGGAGGGGAAUGAUACGUCUGUGAUUUGGGGAUCUGCUUCUCCAAACAACAGUUUAGUCAGCUUGGGAGAAGGGGGAGAACGGGGUGGUGCUGACCUCUCCCUUAGAGCCUCCCCAAAUUCCAAGUGAUUGUUUUUACAUAUCAGGAAAUUCUGAGUGUGCCAUGCUCAAUUAAAGACGCAGGUGUCUCUUCUCCCCAGCAGCUUCCAGGCUGCUACCUUCUCGAGCUCGGCUCAGAACUCCAUCUGAACCUGCCUCCUAUAAAUCUUAAAUAAAACAGCCCCCUCAGUCGACAGUAAUUAAACAGAGACUCCGCCGCGGCGAGCUUGGCAUCCACACCUGCCACUGGG